GGUGAAAAGCACCCCGGAAGGGGAGUGAAAUAGAACCUGAAACCGUGUGCUUACAAGUAGUCAGAGCCCGUUAAUGGGUGAUGGCGUGCCUUUUGUAGAAUGAACCGGCGAGUUACGAUUUGAUGCAAGGUUAAGCAGUAAAUGUGGAGCCGUAGCGAAAGCGAGUCUGAAUAGGGCGUUUAGUAUUUGGUCGUAGACCCGAAACCAGGUGAUCUACCCUUGGUCAGGUUGAAGUUCAGGUAACACUGAAUGGAGGACCGAACCGACUUACGUUGAAAAGUGAGCGGAUGAACUGAGGGUAGCGGAGAAAUUCCAAUCGAACCUGGAGAUAGCUGGUUCUCUCCGAAAUAGCUUUAGGGCUAGCCUCAAGUGAUGAUUAUUGGAGGUAGAGCACUGUUUGGACGAGGGGCCCCUCUCGGGUUACCGAAUUCAGACAAACUCCGAAUGCCAAUUAAUUUAACUUGGGAGUCAGAACAUGGGUGAUAAGGUCCGUGUUCGAAAGGGAAACAGCCCAGACCACCAGCUAAGGUCCCAAAAUAUAUGUUAAGUGGAAAAGGAUGUGGCGUUGCCCAGACAACUAG
rnacentral:rRNA from 1 species